UCAAUUGUUCCAGACCUUUCGAUUUUUCUCCAUUGUUUUUCCAAGAUCAGUGCCCCAAAAGCGGGUGAAGGUUGUUCGUUCCGUUAGCCCCAAAAUUGAUUCUGCCUCCGAUCAACAGUCCAUUCAGCGCAACUAAAACCUAGUUGAAUUCAACCCCCUAGCCGCGAAGUCAAAUGAAUCGGGAAAUAACAAAUGCUUCUACCAAACGUCUUCUGGAUGUUAUGUCGCCGGCCAACGGAUUGCGAGAGGGGCGCAGGCAAAACUUGAAGUUUAAGCACUACGCCGGCAGGUCCCAUGGUAAUCCUGCCUCUAAAGGUACAGAUACUAUCUCGUUUACAAUUUCCUUCUUCGAAAGUGGGCUUUUAUUUUUUAAACAUGAAUUCAAAUUUUAUGCUACGUAUAAUCAUAUUUUUUUUUUACAUGAACUUCAAUGCGAAAUAGUGAUUUGUAUGCUGUAAACUUUUAUAGCCAUUUGUAAUGCUGUGUCCGUUCUAUGUGCUUAAUGAAUUUGGUAACCUUAACUAACUCACUGUUACCCUGUGCAAGUUUAUAGUAUUGUUAUUAUACUGUGUCAUUUUGUUAUAUGAAGAAAUCUACCUUUAUAGUUUGGAGAGAUUGCUUCUUUGUAAUUUCUGGCAAUCUACCUUGUGAACAAAUAAAUAUGGAUAAUGAAAUAAGGACAUUUUCACAUUUAGUUAAUAUAUUAACAUACAAAUCUUUAUUCAUAAUUACUGAUCAAUUUAUCUAUGCACACAGACGAUAUUAGUAAUCUAUUUACACGUGUUUACUGUAUGACAACUUCUGUGUUUACAAAACAAAAUCUAGGGUUUAAUACAUCAGACCUUUUUAGACUGCUGCAACUUGGUGAGGAAGAAGAUGAUUAAUAAUCUAUUUACCCAUGUGUUUACUGUAUGACAACUUUUUGUGUUUGCGAAAUGAAAUCUAGGGUUUGAAAUCUGCCUUAAUUAAUUUGAAUUACAUAUCAGAAUUGGAAAGGUUUACAACACUAUAAAUAAGUACUGCCAAUAAGUACUGCCUUUGCCCAGUUUAAGUACAGGUUCCUGUAUAUGGAGAGUGAAGGAAAAUAGUGGAGAUGUAUAUGGCAGGUUGGGAAUGCAUUCACAAGGAGAAAGAAGAACACUUGUGUACAUUUGAAAUUGAAGUGGGUUAUAAUUUGACACAAGUUGCUUGAAUGGAAGACUCGGAGACGUCGAGGCAGAGAGUGGAGAUGCCGGGGAGAAGCGGAGAAGUUGAGAGAGGAGAAUCGGAGGCUACGAUGCUGUGAGACAGAGAGACGAUGAUAUGGGUAGCUUGAAUGGAACACUUGGGGAUGCCGAGGCAAAGUUAGAGACGCCGAGGCAGGAGAAGAGACGCCGAGGUAGGAGAAGUAGAGACUACAAUGCUGUGAAACGGAGAUAGAAGAUGAGAGAAGUCAACGGCUGAGAGAGUUCAAUGGGUGUGGGGGGCAGAGAAGAUAGGUAGGAGAGAAGUCAACGGCUGAGAGAGUUCAAUGGGUGUGGGGGGCAGAGGGCAGAGAAGAUAGGUAGGGUUAAGAUUUGUCUGUGUAUAACAAUUUGUUUCAAAAAAAUAGGAUAAAUAUUAUUAUUCUACAUUUAAUUUGGAUUAAUAAUUGUGUAUUAAUAA